rnacentral:misc_RNA from 1 species
GAUGAAGAACGUAGCGAAAUGCGAUAAGUAAUGCGAAUUGCAGAAUUUUAGUGAGUCAUCGAAUCUUUGAACGCACAUUGCGCCCUUUGGCAUUCCGAAGGGCAUGCCUGUUCGAGCGUCAUUUCAACCAUCAAGCCCCAGGCUUGUGUUGGAGCCCUGCGGCUGCCGCAGCCUCCCAAAACCAGUGGCGGGCUCGCUAUCACACCGAGUGCAGUAGUUUACUCUUCGCUCAGGGCGUGUGGCGGGUGCUAGCCGUAAAACCCCCAACUUCUCAAGGUUGACCUCGGAUCAGGUAGGAAUACCCGCUGAACUUAAGCAUAUCAAUAAGCGGAGGA